UUCUUAAUUGGUGUUUAUUUCUAUGUUGUUUUGUAGGAUCCACCUCUACUGUAGAAAAGAGGAUGGAAGUCGUAAUCCGAGGCCUGAUUGAGUACAUCGGGGAGAAGCCAGAGGACUUGAUUUCAGAUCAACAGAAUCUGGAGGAAAUUGAGGACACUCAGCAGAAUAUCUCCUAUCCACUGAAGAUCGUCAAAGUCGGUGACACGUAUGAGAACAACAUUGAUGGCCUCCAAUGCAUCACAGGUUUGGGCAAUGUCGCCAAGGCCUCCUGCAUUCUUGUUGGCGAUAUAUACGCGUUGGACUUGAACUAUCCACCCAAACUUCAGCAGACAUUUCAAACUUUUCAGAUUACUGAUUGUUGCAAAGAUACUCAUGAGUGUGUCUAAAGACCAGUAGCAAUAUAAAUAAUCCAUAUUUGUCUAUCAAUCCUGUUCCUUGAUUGUUGAGUUGUAUUUUCCUCUGCAUUAUCCGCUGUUCUAGUUUAAUUGUGCCAGAGGGAGAAAAUACUGUACACUCUUGUAGAAAAAUAAUUAAAUUUUCAUUGAAUAAUAAUCAAUGAACUCAUCAAAUAAUUGAAUGUGUCAAUAAAUAAUUUAAAUAAUCAUUACAAGUAAUAAAAAAAGAAAAAUUCUAUUUAAUUUUAUGUUGUAAGUAGGUGCAGUAUGGCCACUCCUCAAACCAAACUGACUUGGGCUUUUUAUGAUCUAAUCCAUUGCUCUGCAGACGGAUCAUGAAGUUUGCGAAUAGACACUUUAAAAAAAAAAUUUGACCAGAGAAUCGCUCUGGUCUGCCUCCGAGUUUGAGGAAUGAGUUUGACAGAUGGCUGGGCUAAUAAGUUUACAUCCCCAACAUACUUUUUCAGAGAAUAUGUAUAAUAACAUACAAAUCUUUCUUUUGCUCGUGAUUAGUGAUUCUAUUAUAUAAAAAAACUGUUUACUCUUUUUAAAUCAUGACAACAGAAACUUCCCAAAUGACCCUGAUCAAAAGUUUACAUAACCCUGUACUUAAUGAGUACGUACAUCAAUGACAACCUGUAAUGUUUUGUGGUAGUUUUGGAUGAGGCUCUUGAUUUUCUCAGAUUGUAAAUCUGCUAAUUCUUCUUGGCAAAAAACCUCCAGUUCAUGUAAAACCUUGAGCUGUCUUGCAUAAACUGCACAUUUGAGAUCCCCCAUUAACACUGGAGGAUUUUUGCCUAGAAGAAUAGGCAGAUUUACCAUCUGAGAAAACCCAAGAGCCUCAUCCACAACUACCACAAAACAUUACAGGCUGUCAUUGAUGUAAAAAGGGACAAUACUCAGUAUUAAGUAACUUCACAAUAUAAAUGAGAAGGAAGGUCUAGAACAUGAUUAAAACUAAACGUCCUAAAAGAACAUUUUGCAUAACUCCUUAAAAUAUUUAUUGACACCUUAAAAUAAGUCUUGGUUUAAUUCAAUGAACAUUUACUUAUUCAAUGACAUAUAUUUCAUGUAUUUGUAAUGGUGCAUUAAAAAAUAGUGCUAAUGGAAAAUCAGCUGAAUGGUCUAUUGGUAUGUAUGGUAAAAGUAUCAAUACAAAAACAAUCCUUUAAAAAAUGUUUGCUCAUAUUUCUUUUUUUUUUUUUUUACUUAAAACUGGAGUGGUGAGGAACAAAAAUUGUACAGAGUACUUCUGUUGGAAGAAAAAUCUGAUGGAAAAAUGUUUCAAAAUGUAACAUUGACAAAUAUAUUUUUUAUAUAUAUUUACGUUUAAUUGUGUUCACAACUUUAUUAAUAUUGUGAAAAAUAAAUGUUGACAUGGAAAAGCUUCAAAAGGUUUUAUUUCAGAACACAAGCAUAUUGGUAUAAAUGUUUUAAAGUAAUGUUUUUCAGAGCUAACAUUCUUGGCAAAGAUGAUAAUCUUAGUAGGUUUUUUGUAUUCUACUAGAAAACAUGUUGGGAGAAAAUAUUAACUCAAAGAAAUGUAAUUGUUUAAUCAUAGCAAAAAAUUGCUGGGAAAAAAUGUUAUCUUAAACUAAUUUUAUAAUUUCAUUAGAACACUAACAUGUUG
rnacentral:lncRNA from 1 species